UACGUAGGGGGCAAGCGUUGUCCGGAAUCAUUGGGCGUAAAGCGCGUGUAGGCGGCUCGAUAAGUCUGCUGUGAAAGUCCAAGCUCAACCUUGGGAUGCCGGUGGAUACUGUCGAGCUCGAGUCCGGAAGAGGAGUGUGGAAUUCCUGGUGUAGCGGUGAAAUGCGCAGAUAUCAGGAGGAACACCAAUGGCGAAGGCAGCACUCUGGGACGUGACUGACGCUGAGACGCGAAAGCGUGGGGAGCAAACAGG
rnacentral:rRNA from 1 species